rnacentral:rRNA from 2 species
GCAAGGGGCUGCCUAAUACAUGCAAGUCGAGCGGACUUUAAAAGCUUGCUUUUAAAGUUAGCGGCGGACGGGUGAGUAACACGUGGGCAACCUGCCUGUAAGACUGGGAUAACUUCGGGAAACCGGAGCUAAUACCGGAUAAUCCUUUUCCUCUCAUGAGGAAAAGCUGAAAGACGGUUUACGCUGUCACUUACAGAUGGGCCCGCGGCGCAUUAGCUAUUUGGUGAGGUAACGGCUCACCAAGGCGACGAUGCGUACGCGACCUGACAGGGUGAUCGGCCACCCUGCGACAGAAACACGGCCCAGACUCUUAGGGUAGGC